AUUUCCCGCUGGGAGUUGCAGUCCAAAGAAAGAGAGUGACAGACCCAGGCCAAACACCAGCACUUCCAGCCAGGGGACGCAGCUUCCGGAGCAUGAGAGAUAAAUGUCUGUUGCUGAAGCCACCUGGUCUGUGGUAUCUGUUUCAGCAGCUCCAGGAAACCAGUGCAGGUGGUCAGCCUGGGGUCCCUGUGCCAGCGACUCAGGAGGCCAGCACAGCGGACAUCCCCAGGGCAGGACCGAGUGGAGGUCCCGGGCACUCCCCUUCCAAGACCCCUCACACCUGAAACCACCCACCACCGCGCAGGGGGCCUGUGCUCGCCUGCCCCUUCUGACGGCACCGUGCCGCAGGCCAUAGGAAAGCGCUGACUGGAAGCAGACAGGGCUGGCCCAAAGGCCCGGGGCCACCCCACUAGCUGAGCUGGAAGCUGGAGGGUGAGAAAGACCCUCCCAGGAGUGGAGGCCCAGGGGCUGCACCCCAAAGCACCGGGCCCUAUGGCCUGGCCUGGGUCACCUCGGCAGGAACACAGACAUGCCAAGACCCUUCAGGCUGCCCCUCCCCCCUCCGCCCUCCCUCCAGGCCCACGUCCACCACCCUGGACCUCAGGGGAGGCCAGGCAGGAAGGCAGGAGGCAACAGGCUGCCUCAGGUACCUGUGUGCGAGGCUGACGUCAGGAGGGACCCAACUGCCCGGGAGACACAGAGAGACGGAGGGCAGAGGCCGCUGCUCGGGCAGCACAGAACCGAGCGGCCCUGGGCAUGGGGACACGAGCCCACGCCUGGUCCUCAGCCGGUCCACACCCCUCAGACGCCAGCCUCACCAACAGGGCAGUCAGCUUCCCAGACCAGGAAAAGGGGAGACAGACACACAGACAUGCUCCGCUCCCGAGCGUCUAAGAGAAGCAUCUGGGGCACCCCUGCCCUGGCAGCAGAGGCCCUGAGUGCGGGCCGAGCUCGCAGGAGGCCACAGUCAGCUCAAAGUGCGGGUGGAAGAUUCCACCCUGCCUGGCUCCGCUGGGAGAAAGUUUAGUGACUUCAGGGGCAGGUCUGCAGCUAUGUGGAAACCUGGCUUGUUCCCAGGGGCUGUGCGGAGCUGAGGUUCCUCUAAUUCUGCUUAAUAGUCCCGAGGGUCCACGCUAUUUGCUGCAGCUCCACUGUCCAGCUCUCACCCGCCGUCCCCACGAAACUGCCCGCCUUCGAGGCUCCCGUCCUAAAGCCCCAGCCAUCCGAGCACACCUUUGAAGGGCAGCGAAGGCGGCACGGCGGCCAGGCUCCUCCUGGAGGGUCCCCAGAGCCUGCCUGCCAGGCUGUGCUUCCCACGGACAGAAAUCCUGACUCCAGUCCACACCCUGAGCGUGUGCCUGGCCCUCCAGGAACGACCCAAGACGAACCCAGGAGGCCAGGGCCUCUGCUCCAUGCACAAGGCACAUCCGCCCUGGGGAGACCCCCCAGAGUGCCCCCCGAUCCCCGAGGCUGCCUCAGAGAGGAGAUGAGACCAAGAGAACCCCUCCUCGGAACACGGUGACCUGAGGGGGCUUCCUCGCAACGACACCAGGAUGACUGGCAGGGGGAAGGUUGAAGGCAAAGGGUUAACGGCCCUCAACAGAGCCCCGAAGAGUCUUGGGGAACAAAGGGACCCAGGGCCCUCCUGCGGGAGAGUCAGCUGCGUGAUGUGGAGGACAGUAGGCAGACCCACACCCGCUGGGCACGGCAGGACGGGCCAUCCGAGGGGGCUCAGAAAGGAGACCCCAUCCCCUCUGAGCUCAGAUCCCUCUCUCUGCGACCCCUUCAAGGGUCCUUGAAAAGUAAAGUGACCGCACGGAGCACAGCGCUGGGCAUACAGUAGGGGCUUAGCGAGGCUCGGGGGAAGAGGCGCCACGUGUGCCGUCCGAGGGGGCGGGUGGACGGACUGAGUCGCGGUGUGUCUCGAGUGGCGUCGCCGGGCAGGCAGGUAAAGCCACAAGAGGACAGAGGGGCCGUCGUUACCAGACGGGGCCCCAGAGGCAGGCGCGGAGAAGGCACACCAGCGGGGAUGCUGGCUUUCAAACCGGCUCUCACUGGUCACCCCAGACACCGGCCUCAGAGAGCAGCUGACCGCAGAGGCACUGCACCCCCAAGCCCUCGGGCACCUGGCCGGGGGGCGAGCCCGCCCCGGGGGCUGUGUCCUUGAGCAGGACACAUGGGGAGCCUGGCAGCCUGUGGGCCACAAAGACACCAAACUGAUGGACACUCUGGGAAAGAAGGUGGGGGGUUGGGCAGGGGCAGGCCGCCAUCGUUAGGGCCCCUCCAGCAGCAGCCCUGACCACUGCGCCCUCUCCACAGUCCCACCCACGUGACCACGCUCUUACCGUCCUCCUGCUGCGAGGACAGGACAUUUAGACCCGAGAGGUGCUCCCGGGCUCUGUCUAAAUCACACGGGCCAGCCCCUCGGCCCCCCAGGAGCCCUCCCCUCCCCCAAAGGUGCACCGACAGUGACAGGGACCGUGGCCAGCAGCAAGGUGGGAGGCCACGAGGCCCAGCCAGUGCUCCCCCUGUCCACGGUUUGCUGUCAGCCCGUCUGAAUAUCUGGACCCAGCAGGGCAGCUCAAGGCUGAAGGAUCUGAGGCCUCCCCCUUCACCUCCCUGCUCAUGGGCGGGCAGGGCAUUUGGGCAGACGCACUCCUGCUGGGGUCCCUCCAGCUCUGAGAUCGAGGCCCCUUCAUAGAGAUGACUUACACUCAGAAAGCAAGGCAGGACGGAGUUACCAAAAGCCUGCCGGCCCCACUCCCAAGGCGGGCCACGUGGUGGCAGAACAGAGCUGUUCUCAGCCACCUCCGAUGACCCACAGCCGCUGACCCUGUGACCGUGAGUGUGGUCAUGCUGUGACCCGAGGAGCACAGGCUCAGCUCUUUGAGGGUGUGGGCAGCUGGAUAAUGGCCCCUCAAAGAGGCCCACAUGCUAAUCCCUGGAAGCUUACACAACAAAAGGGACUUUGCAGGUGAGAUGGGAGAUUAGCAUGGAGUAUCCAGGUGGGUCCAACGUCAGCACACAGGCCUUACAAGUAAGAGACAGGAAGGAAGGAGGGCCCAAUGCAAUGGAAUACUACUCAGCCAUAAAAAAAUAAAAUAAUGCCAUUUACAGCAACGUGGAUGGACCUAGAGAUUAUCAUACUAAGUGAAGUAAGUCACAGAAAGACAAAUUCAUAUGGUAUCACUUACAUGCCGCUUCUAUGUAACAGAACUUAUACGUUCUGUUACAAAACAGAAACAGACUCACAGACACAGAAAACAAACUUAUGGUUACCAAAGGGGCGGGGGGGGGGGAUAAAUUAGGAGUUUGGGAUUAGCAGAUACACGCUCCCAUAUAGAAAAUAGGUAAAAAACAAGGACCGACUGUGUAGAACAGGGAACUAUAUUCACUAUCUCGUAAUAACCAAUAAUGGAAAA